rnacentral:rRNA from 1 species
GACGAACGCUGGCGGCGUGCUUAACACAUGCAAGUCGAGCGGUAAGGCCCUUUCGGGGGUACACGAGCGGCGAACGGGUGAGUAACACGUGGGUGACCUGCCCUCAGCUCUGGGAUAAGCCUGGGAAACCGGGUCUAAUACCGGAUAUGACUCCAUGACGCAUGUUGUGGGGUGGAAAGCCUUGUGCGGCUGAGGAUGGGCCCGCGGCCUAUCAGCUUGUUGGUGGGGUGAUGGCCUACCAAGGCGACGACGGGUAGCCGGCCUGAGAGGGCGACCGGCCACACUGGGGACUGAGACACGGCCCAGACUCCUACGGGAGGCAGCAGUGGGGAAUCUUGCGCAAUGGGCGAAAGCCUGACGCAGCGACGCCGCGUGAGGGAUGACGGCCUGGU